AUUGAACGCUGGCGGAAUGCUUUACACAUGCAAGUCGAACGGUAGAGGGGGCAACCCCUUGAGAGUGGCGAACGGGUGAGUAAUAUAUCGGAACGUGCCCAGUCGUGGGGAUAACGUAGCGAAAGUUACGCUAAUACCGCAUACGAUCUAAGGAUGAAAGCGGGGGAUCGCAAGACCUCGCGCGAUUGGAGCGGCCGAUAUCAGAUUAGGUAGUUGGUGAGGUAAAGGCUCACCAAGCCAACGAUCUGUAGCUGGUCUGAGAGGACGACCAGCCACACUGGAACUGAGACACGGUCCAGACUCCUACGGGAGGCAGCAGUGGGGAAUUUUGGACAAUGGACGCAAGUCUGAUCCAGCCAUUCCGCGUGCAGGAUGAAGGCCCUCGGGUUGUAAACUGCUUUUGUACGGAACGAAACGGUGAGCUCUAAUACAGUUUGCUAAUGACGGUACCGUAAGAAUAAGCACCGGCUAACUACGUGCCAGCAGCCGCGGU
rnacentral:rRNA from 1 species